rnacentral:lncRNA from 1 species
GCCCCUGAUGUAUCAUGUUUGUGCAAAAGACACCCCCCAUCUAUUUUUGUCUAGGUUUGGAACCCUCAAUGAUACUGAAAAGUGUAACGGGUACCCCUCCGUCACUUUGACGUUAAAAAAUUAACGGAAGGGGCUGAUGUGGAUUUUUUUUUUUUAGAAAUGCCACGUGGAAAUUACGUUUUAAAUUAGGAAAAAAUUGUGAGGGAGAUUCGAACCCAAGCCUCAAAAGUGGCAAAACCAGAACCUAACCAUGUGAGCUACAUAGAGACUUGUAAUAUUUAUCAACACAAUUUUAUUUAUACCAUUUAUUUCUUCACAAAAUUCUUCUAAAAAUCACCAAAAUUGAUGGGAUAAAAAAAUGGGGUUUCAGCAGUUGCGAUUAGAAUUUGAAGGUCAAAAACGAAAUCUAAACACCGUAUGUGAAGCUUUCU